UGGGGAAUUUUGGACAAUGGGGGAAACCCUGAUCCAGCCAUCCCGCGUGUGCGAUGAAGGCCUUCGGGUUGUAAAGCACUUUUGGCAGGAAAGAAACGUCGCGGGUUAAUACCCCGCGAAACUGACGGUACCUGCAGAAUAAGCACCGGCUAACUACGUGCCAGCAGCCGCGGUAAUACGUAGGGUGCAAGCGUUAAUCGGAAUUACUGGGCGUAAAGCGUGCGCAGGCGGUUCGGAAAGAAAGAUGUGAAAUCCCAGAGCUUAACUUUGGAACUGCAUUUUUAACUACCGGGCUAGAGUGUGUCAGAGGGAGGUGGAAUUCCGCGUGUAGCAGUGAAAUGCGUAGAUAUGCGGAGGAACACCGAUGGCGAAGGCAGCCUCCUGGGAUAACACUGACGCUCAUGCACGAAAGCGUGGGGAGCAAACAGGAUUAGAUACCCUGGUAGUCCACGCCCUAAAACGAUGUCAACUAGCUGUUGGGGCCUUCGGGCCUUGGUAGCGCAGCUAACGCGUGAAGUUGACCGCCUGGGGAGUACGGUCGCAAGAUUAAAAACUCAAAGG
rnacentral:rRNA from 1 species